rnacentral:rRNA from 1 species
UACGAGGGGGGCGAGCGUUGUUCGGAAUUAUUGGGCGUAAAGGGUGCGUAGGCGGUUUGGUAAGUCUUGUGUGAAAUCUCCAGGCUCAACUUGGAGUCUGCACGAGAAACUGCCGGGCUUGAGUGUGGGAGAGGUGAGUGGAAUUCCUGGUGUAGCGGUGAAAUGCGUAGAUAUCAGGAGGAACACCUGUGGCGAAAGCGGCUCACUGGACCAUAACUGACGCUGAUGCACGAAAGCUAGGGGAGCAAACAGG